rnacentral:rRNA from 1 species
AUUGAACGCUGGCGGCAGGCUUAACACAUGCAAGUCGAGCGAGCGGCGGACGGGUGAGUAAUGUCUGGGAAACUGCCUGAUGGAGGGGGAUAACUACUGGAAACGGUAGCUAAUACCGCAUACCAUCAGAUGUGCCCAGAUGGGAUUAGAUAGUAGGUGGGGUAACGGCGACCCUAGGCGACGAUCCCUAGCUGGUCUGAGAGUAUGACCAGCCACACUGGAACUGAGACACGGUCCAGACGCCUACGGGAGGCAGCAGUGGGGAAUAUUGCACAAUGGGCGCAAGCCUGAUGCAGCCAUGCCGCGUGUGUGAAGAAGGCCUUCGGGUUGUAAAGCACUUUCAGCGGGGAGGCGUUACCCGCAGAAGAAGCACCGGCUAACUCCGUGCCAGCAGCCGCGGUAAUAC